rnacentral:tRNA from 1 species
AGUACUGUGGCUUAGUGGUAGAGUGCUUGCCUAGCAUGCAUGAAGCCUUGGGUUUGAUUCCCCAGUGCCA